rnacentral:rRNA from 1 species
AGUCGAGCGAACAGAUAAGGAGCUUGCUCCUUUGACGUUAGCGGCGGACGGGUGAGUAACACGUGGGUAACCUACCUAUAAGACUGGGAUAACUUCGGGAAACCGGAGCUAAUACCGGAUAACAUUUGGAACCGCAUGGUUCUAAAGUGAAAGAUGGUUUUGCUAUCACUUAUAGAUGGACCCGCGCCGUAUUAGCUAGUUGGUAAGGUAACGGCUUACCAAGGCGACGAUACGUAGCCGACCUGAGAGGGUGAUCGGCCACACUGGAACUGAGACACGGUCCAGACUCCUACGGGAGGCAGCAGUAGGGAAUCUUCCGCAAUGGGCGAAAGCCUGACGGAGCAACGCCGCGUGAGUGAUGAAGGGUUUCGGCUCGUAAAACUCUGUUAUUAGCGAAGAACAAAUGUGUAAGUAACUGUGCACAUCUUGACGGUACCUAAUCAGUAAGCCACGGCUAACUACGUGCCAGCAGCCGCGGUAAUACGUAGGUGGCAAGCGUUAUCCGGAAUUAUUGGGCGUAAAGCGCGCGUAGGCGGUUUCUUAAGUCUGAUGUGAAAGCCCACGGCUCAACCGUGGAGGGUCAUUGGAAACUGGGAAGCUUGAGUGCAGAAGAGGAAAGUGGAAUUCCAUGUGUAGCGGUGAAAUGCGCAGAGAUAUGGAGGAACACCAGUGGCGAAGGCGACUUUCUGGUCU